ensembl:lncRNA
CUCGACUGGGUCAGUCCCAGUUGUGUUACUGAGUUUUGGCUGGCAGGCAGGCCUUGUUGAAUAUCACGUAUAUUCCAGUCCGAGUGGGACUUUUUAAUGUAAGUUCUCUGCAGCACCAAAUGUGGCCCCACCAUGACCUCAGAUGUCACAGUGGUUGUUCAACCAGAGGACAAGGUGAUCCCUCCUAAACCUGCAUCAGCACUGAGGAAAAACCUUCAAGUCAGCCAUGGAGCAGAAAGCUAAUGAGUGUCCCACCACCACCUCUCCUCAGAAGCACAUGAAGAAUAGGUCUAAAUCCACAGAGGAGAUGCAGCAGUCGAAGAAGGCCUUUGCUUCACAAAAAUCCCUGCCAGGCCGACCAGAGCUGGACAGAGUGAAGGAGUGUCCUGAUGGCUCUGACACGCCUUCAUCCUCCAGUGAAGAACUAAAGUGAUAAAAAAAACAGCAGGACAAUAAAGCUGCAAUUAAACUAUAAAACCAUAAACAUAAAUGUACAUAUGUACACAGGGAAAUGUGCAGAAAAUUGAGGAUAAUAGCAAGUUAGAAAAUAAAACAAACAAGCCAUGAAUUUAAGAAGAGCUUAAGGAAAAUGUAUAUAAAGCAUCGAUUCACAUUCAGACUCAAAAACACACCGAGACAAUCGCAUGUAAACAAAAGGACACCUGUGAUGAUGCUGUUUCAUUGUGCUGUGAGUGGUGUCUACAUAGCAACUGAAUGUGUAGUGACAAUAAAGUGAUGUUGUGUGUGCUGAAACACCGUAGAACUGUUUGUCAGGUUCCUUUAAAGAGUUCAACUUAAUAAAGCUACAAUUUAAGACUUUUACUGAGGAAGCCAGACCUCUGACAGGUGAAUAAAAUGCCUGAAAAUGACUUCCAAUGAAAUCAUUUGAAUUUCAACAGAGGUUAUUCCAUCACUGCAUCCUUUGGAAGCCCCAGUUUAACAAUAACAUCAGAAUAAAAUGUAGCUUUAUCAUCCACCAGAGGGGCAAAUUCUUAUACUAACACACAAAAGCAGUUUAACUGUUAAAAUAUUUAAUUGUGACACUAACUAUAGAAAAGAAUAAGCAUUUCUGCAAGGUGGCUAGAUCAGAGCUGCUUCAUCACUCAUUGUGCUGUAAGUAUAAAAUAAAAACCAGUGGAGUAACUUGUAAAUGUUUAUUUGCACUUGGUAUACAAUAUUUUUUAUUUGCCAAAGGCGCCGCUCAGAGGUCAUAAUCUCAAACUGAGGAAAUAGAGGAAAUGUCUGUCUGGAUGCUCAUGGAUACACAGGUUUUUCAGCCUUAUCUGGCAUUUCCCAGUUAUGUUGCUGCAGCUGAGGCAUUCAAACAAUGAUGUCAAGUCACGUGUAAAAAUGCAACUAAGAUUUUAGGAUUUAAUUUGAAGUUAUAUGCAUUUCUUUGGAACAUGGUUAAUACUGAAUGGUUCUGCACAUUAAACAAGCUAAAUAUGACAAGGUUUGUUAUGAAAUUCUGCUCUGUACAGUAUUGUCAAUAUUUAUCUCCAAAUUAGUGCUGUAAUUAGCAGAUAUUUUUCACUUGCUAAUCUGAUAAUUUGUUUGGC